rnacentral:rRNA from 1 species
UACGGGGGGGGCAAGCGUUGUUCGGAAUUACUGGGCGUAAAGGGCUCGUAGGCGGCCAACUAAGUCAGACGUGAAAUCCCCUCGGCUUAACCGGGGGAACUGCGUCUGAUACUGGAUGGCUUGAGGUUGGGAGAGGGAUGCGGAAUUCCAGGUGUAGCGGUGAAAUGCGUAGAUAUCUGGAGGAACACCGGUGGCGAAGGCGGCAUCCUGGACCAAUUCUGACGCUGAGGAGCGAAAGCUAGGGGAGCAAACGGGG